rnacentral:rRNA from 1 species
UACGUAGGGUGCGAGCGUUGUCCGGAUUUAUUGGGCGUAAAGAGCUCGUAGGCGGUUUGUCGCGUCGGCCGUGAAAUCUCCACGCUUAACGUGGAGCGUGCGGUCGAUACGGGCAGACUUGAGUUCGGUAGGGGAGACUGGAAUUCCUGGUGUAGCGGUGAAAUGCGCAGAUAUCAGGAGGAACACCGGUGGCGAAGGCGGGUCUCUGGGCCGAUACUGACGUGAGGAGCGAAAGCGUGGGGAGCAAACAGG